UGUCCUGUAGCUCAAUUGGCAGAGCGUCUGAUUUUGGUUCAGAAGGUUUCAGGUUCGACCCCUGACAGGACAA
rnacentral:tRNA from 1 species